rnacentral:rRNA from 1 species
CCUACGGGAGGCUGCAGUGGGGAAUAUUGCACAAUGGGGGAAACCCUGAUGCAGCGACGCCGCGUGAGUGAAGAAGUAAUUCGUUAUGUAAAGCUCUAUCAGCAGGGAAGAAAAUGACGGUACCUGUGUAAGAAUCCCCGGCUAACUACGUUCCAGCUGCCGCGGCAAUACGUAGGGGUCAAGCGUUAUCCGGAUUUACUGGGUGUAAGGGGCGUGUAGUCGGGUUGACAAGUCAGAUGUGAAAUCCUGCGGCUUAACCGCAGAACUGCAGUUGAAACUGUUGAUCUUGAGUACUGGAGAGGCAGGCGGAAUGCGUAGUGUAGCGGUGAAAUGCGUAGAUAUUAGGAGGAACACCAGUGGCGAAGGCGGUCUGCUGGACAGCAACUGACGGUGAGGCGCGAAAGCGUGGGGAGCAAACAGGAUUAGAUACCAUGGUAGUC